GAAAGCUGUAUGCUUUGGAAGAAGCUUGUACAGUUUGGGAAGGGGUUUUUUGAGAGAAAAGAAGAAUCUACUUCAAC
rnacentral:ncRNA from 1 species